rnacentral:rRNA from 1 species
UGCAGUCGACGCUGAAGCCUGGUGCUUGCACCGGGUGGAUGAGUGGCGAACGGGUGAGUAAUACGUGAGUGACCUGCCUUUGACUCUGGGAUAAGCCUGGGAAACUGGGUCUAAUACCGGAUGCGACUACUGCCCGCAUGGGCUGGUGGUGGAAAGGGUUAUGUACUGGUCUUAGAUGGGCUCACGGCCUAUCAGCUGGUUGGUGGGGUAAUGGCCUACCAAGGCGACGACGGGUAGCCGGCCUGAGAGGGUGACCGGCCACACUGGGACUGAGACACGGCCCAGACUCCUACGGGAGGCAGCAGUGGGGAAUAUUGCACAAUGGGCGCAAGCCUGAUGCAGCGACGCCGCGUGAGGGAUGACGGCCUUCGGGUUGUAAACCUCUUUCAGCAGGGAAGAAGCGGAAGUGACGGUACCUGCAGAAGAAGCGCCGGCUAACUACGUGCCAGCAGCCGCGGUAAUACGUAGGGCGCAAGCGUUGUCCGGAAUUAUUGGGCGUAAAGAGCUCGUAGGCGGCUUGUCGCGUCUGCUGUGAAAGCCCGGGGCUUAACUCCGGGUGUGCAGUGGGUACGGGCAGGCUAGAGUGCAGUAGGGGUAACUGGAAUUCCUGGUGUAGCGGUGAAAUGCGCAGAUAUCAGGAGGAACACCGAUGGCGAAGGCAGGUUACUGGGCUGUUACUGACGCUGAGGAGCGAAAGCAUGGGGAGCGAACAGGAUUAGAUACCCUGGUAGUCCAUGCCGUAAACGUUGGGCACUAGGUGUGGGGGACAUUCCACGUUUUCCGCGCCGUAGCUAACGCAUUAAGUGCCCCGCCUGGGGGAGUACGGCCGCAAGGGCUAAAAACUCAAAGGAAUUGACGGGGGCCCGCACAAGCGGCGGAGCAUGCGGAUUAAUUUGAUGCAACGAGAAGAACCUUACCAAGGCUUGACAUACACCGGAUCGUUCCAGAGAUGGUUCUUCCCUUUUGGGUUGGUGUACAGGUGGUGCAUGGUCGUCGUCAGCUCGUGUCGUGAGAUGUUGGGUUAAGUCCCGCAACGAGCGCAACCCUCGUUCUAUGUUGCCAGCACGUGAUGGUGGGGACUCAUAGGAGACUGCCGGGGUCAACUCGGAGGAAGGUGGGGAUGACGUCAAAUCAUCAUGCCCCUUAUGUCUUGGGCUUCACGCAUGCUACAAUGGCCGGUACAAUGGGUUGCGAUACUGUGAGGUGGAGCUAAUCCCAAAAAGCCGCUCUCAGUUCGGAUUGGGGUCUGCAACUCGACCCCACGAAGUUGGAGUCGCUAGUAAUCGCAGAUCAGCAACGCUGCGGUGAAUACGUUCCCGGGCCUUGUACACACCGCCCGUCAAGUCACGAAAGUUGGUAACACCCGAAGCCGAUGGCCUAACCCUUGUGGAGGGA